GUAAUUUUGCGGCGUUGAAGUUCCACUGCCGCCACAGAGGUGUCGGCUAGAGUGGAUUGAAAGGGAAUCCGGUGAGAAUCCGGGACAGUACCUGCUGCUGUGAGUCCCACGCAACGUUUCCGCACAAUGUCAUUGCCCCUCGCGGGGUGAGAAGGCGCGGACAACGGGGACGAGUCAGAAGACCUGCUUCAAUACGAUGCGAUAA
rnacentral:ncRNA from 2 species